AACGCACAUUGCACUCCUUGGUAUUCCGAGGAGUAUGCCUGUUUCAGUAUCAUGAGCACUCUCACACCUAACCUUUGGGUUUAUGGCGUGGAAUUGGAAUGCGCCGACUGUCAUGGUUGGCCCUUCUAAAAUGUAGUUCUUGGCUGUCACCUAAUACAGCAGUUUGGCCUAAUAGUUUUGGCAUUCAUUGUCAAAUCUUUGGCUAACAUUUGCUCCAGGAGUCAGUCUUGAUAAUACAGAAAACUCAUUCAAAUUUUGAUCUGAAAUCAGGUAGGGCUACCCGCUGAACUUAA
rnacentral:misc_RNA from 4 species